rnacentral:lncRNA from 1 species
UUGCGAGAUUUUUAAAAUCAACUUAUAGAGAUACAAUAAUUCAAAUAACAUUCCAAUAUCAUUUUUAAGUGAGCAAUAAUAACCAUUUUCCCUUUUUUAUUUGUCUACUGGUAUCCUUGGGGGUCCAUAAGGAUGUCUCACUACACGUGAACUAAUAUUCAACAUUAUCAACUAACUGGCCGUCCCAUACAUUGUCUGAUAUGAGCGCUAAAAAUACAAUCACUCGAUACCUCAUCCAGUAUAACGAUGAAUCGGACCGUCUCCAUACCCCGUUUGGUAUGAGCGCAAAAAAUAUCAAUCCUCUGGAUAUCCCGUCUAGUAUGACGAUGAAUCGGACCAUUCCCAUACCCCGUCUGGUAUGAG